CGUAUCACCCAAGACAACUUUACGGAGUUGACGAUUGACGGAGCGAAGCGACGUCAAAGCGUUCAUUAAAGUCGAGUUGGCUUAGGGAUACGUUCGUUGGGUAGGGGAGCGUUCUGUAAGCCUGUGAAGGUGUGUCGUGAGGCAUGCUGGAGGUAUCAGAAGUGCGAAUGCUGACAUAAGUAACGAUAAAGCGGGUGAAAAGCCCGCUCGCCGGAAGACCAAGGGUUCCUGUCCAACGUUAAUCGGGGCAGGGUGAGUCGACCCCUAAGGCGAGGCCGAAAGGCGUAGUCGAUGGGAAACGGGUUAAUAUUCCCGUACUUGGUGUUACUGCGAAGGGGGGACGGAGAAGGCUAUGUUGGCCGGGCGACGGUUGUCCCGGUUUAAGCGUGUAGGUGUGUGUUCCAGGUAAAUCCGGUUCACUUUAACACUGAGGCGUGACGACGAGGCACUACGGUGCUGAAGCAACAAAUGCCCUGCUUCCAGGAAAAGCCUCUAAGCAUCAGGUAACACGAAAUCGUACCCCAAACCGACACAGGUGGUCAGGUAGAGAAUACCAAGGCGCUUGAGAGAACUCGGGUGAAGGAACUAGGCAAAAUGGUGCCGUAACUUCGGGAGAAGGCACGCUGACACGUAGGUGAAGUGAUUUACUCACGGAGCUGAAGUCAGUCGAAGAUACCAGCUGGCUGCAACUGUUUAUUAAAAACACAGCACUGUGCAAACACGAAAGUGGACGUAUACGGUGUGACGCCUGCCCGGUGCCGGAAGGUUAAUUGAUGGGGUCAGCGCAAGCGAAGCUCCUGAUCGAAGCCCCGGUAAACGGCGGCCGUAACUAUAACGGUCCUAAGGUAGCGAAAUUCCUUGUCGGGUAAGUUCCGACCUGCACGAAUGGCGUAAUGAUGGCCAGGCUGUCUCCACCCGAGACUCAGUGAAAUUGAACUCGCUGUGAAGAUGCAGUGUACCCGCGGCAAGACGGAAAGACCCCGUGAACCUUUACUAUAGCUUGACACUGAACAUUGAGCCUUGAUGUGUAGGAUAGGUGGGAGGCUUUGAAGUGUGGACGCCAGUCUGCAUGGAGCCGACCUUGAAAUACCACCCUUUAAUGUUU
rnacentral:rRNA from 1 species